UGGCAAUCACAGUAAUGACUACAAGUGUAAUACAGUACUUUACAAGCUUUACAAGCAAUCACAAACUGGCACCUGCUCCCGUCAUGAACAUGCCAAACUCACAACAUGCCAAACUCGUUGGACUACCAUAGUGAUAUGAACAACAUGCCGAACUAGCUGGACAACCGUAGUUAGGGCUGGGAACAAACAGAACGGCCUUCAAGAAAACAGACAACAUGCCUUCCUCGGUCGCCCUGUUACAUGAAUCAGUAGAGAAGAAUCAAAAAAACUGGGGCAAAUAUAUUAUGAACAGACCAUUCAAGAAAAGGAUAGUUAUUUAGAAUGAUAACACAAAUUGAGCUAGUACCAUGCUUUUUGUUCUCCAGCUAGUUAAAAUGAGAUACUCGUUCAUACAAGAAAGGUGACUCGUGAAAAUAGAGCAUUCUACUCAUAGCUCGCAGAGUAUCAAUAUUCUGUUCUUAUAAGCUUAUUCUUAUGCGUGAAGCAAGUAAGGAAAUCUGACCAAAUAAGCAACACCUCCAUAAACUGAUCAUGACUAAAUGGAGCAGAGGAAGGAAAGGAGCUCUCCAUGGCUGUUUUUGUAGCCGAUGCCGAACAACACAGCUGCCACCACCGUUGCAUGGAAGCAGCAGAAAAGAGGAGCCUGGCAUGACGAACCCCUUGUACCGAAUCAAAUCAUGCUGCACAAGAAGGACAAGAGAAAUAAGAAGAUAAUCUUGAGGUCAAAUCAAAAAUCAGAAAAAUAAAUCAUGGACUCAAGCACAUUCAUACAUAUACUUUAAGUUGUUAAACAGAAUCAUAGAUUCCAUCACGUAAUCCAAAAAAUUUGAACAUAUAUAUAUAUAUGCAUGCUUGUCAAAGUUUCAUUCCAGAGAAUUAAAGUGCUGGGUAAGAAGCCUAAUGUACAAUUGAUACAAGUUAAUACAAGCCUGAUGUACUACUCUGGGUAAGAAGAAGCAUGUACUUUAGUAGUUUUAGCACACUAAUACAUGUGUUAAAAUGGAAGCGUCGCUGCUGGGUUAUAUUAAUAAAUAAUCUAAGUGUUGCAACACCCAACAAGAUUUGCAUGAACAGGUAAAACCUAGCAAGUACUUGUACUGGGAUGUUGUCCAUCCAACAGAGACAACAAACCAGCUUAUCACAAGACUGAUGCUGGACUCCAUUGCCGGAAUCUACAGCUAGGCACUCAAGCUUAAGGGGAUCCUCAUGUGGAUCGAGCCUGCAUGUUAAUCUUUACACUAGCAGGGCCAUUUCUGUUCUCUUUCUUUCUUUGACACCAGUGUCAUGUACUAUACUCAACUGUACUGCAAGUGCCAUGUGCUACUGCAGUUUAGUUGAGUUUUAAGACUAGAACAUGUUAUUGUAACCUUUGCAACUGAAGACACAGAAUAACUAAGUGGAUCAGCAUGAAUGAACAAGCUAAAGGGUCAGUGUCUAAUGUCAGAAUCUACAGCUCAAGAGGAUCCUGUGUGGAUCAAGCCAAAGUGUUAAGGCUACCUUUUACAUCAGUGUCAUGUGCUAUAUUCAAACUGUGCUGCAACUUAGUUGAGUUGCAAGUAGGACUACAGUGAAGAUGCUAUUCUAACUUCUGUGACUGAAGAAAAAGACACCGUAUGUACAUCGUGUUAAACAUUAGUACACAGCGCUGACGCUACUAUACAACCACGAAUUAAAUCACUGGACACCAAGGCCGGAAUGGCGCUAGAGUGGACCAAGCAGUCAAACUGGGACAGAUUGGAUGAUUUUACCCUCGAGUAAUCUAAGCAGCUAGAACCGACAUCCUCCCCCUCUGCACGCUAUCCUCUCUUCACUGUCUAAACCGAACCAUCGUCUUCCUUGACACCCGCAGCACCUCGGUGUACCAUGGUGAUGGCCUGCACAAAUCCCCUGCAUGGAUCAGAUCAGAUCUAAUCAAGAAGAAGCAGAGGAGGGGAGGGGAGGGGAGGAGGGACGAGCAAUCAGUGCAUCAACAAAAUAUGGAACAUCAAGCACAGCAUGACAACUAGAGUAUAUGUAUUGCUGGCUCUUAUUAGUCCACAACCGAGUGGAUUUUCAACCAUACUAUAACUAUCACUCCAUCCAUUAUUUAAACUACCAAAACGUCUUUAUAUUGAGAAACAUAGGUACUGGUUGCAUAUAUAGACUAGUAGCAGUACUAUGUGUGGCAGUUUUAACAAGUCAAAUAAUUUUACUGUAGACAAGUUGCAUAUAUAGACUAGUAGUAGUACUGUAAUCUAACAGUGGCUAAAGCAUACAAGAAACAUAUUGCAGUGUACUCUAGCCCAAACGAAUUCCCACCCAUGCCUUGUUUCAGAUUAGACACUUUCUUACAACUGAAUUCCAGAUACAAUUGGUUUAAGAUCCAGGUGUACUAAUUAAGAAAGAGGCGACAAGUAGCCAUUGCAUGUGACGGCAGGCAGACAGGAAAUGGUUAGGAAGAAGAGGAGCAGUGGAGCAAUGACUGACCCAUUGGAGACCCCGGUCUUGUCCUUCUUGAAGACGACCCCGAAUCCCCGAUGCACUCGCCGUCGACCACAUUGGAGGCACUAA
rnacentral:lncRNA from 1 species